rnacentral:rRNA from 1 species
CCCUUAGAUGUCCUGGGCCGCACGCGCGCUACACUGAUGCAUUCAACGAGUAUUUCCUUGGCCAAGAGGCCUGGGCAAUCUUUUAAACCUGCAUCGUGAUAGGGAUAGAUUAUUGCAAUUAUUAAUCUUGAACGAGGAAUUCCUAGUAAACGCAAAUCAUCAAUUUGCAUUGAUUACGUCCCUGCCCUUUGUACACACCGCCCGUCGCACCUACCGAUUGAAUGGUCCGGUGAAAUCUCGGGAUUGUGGCCAGUUCACUUUAUUGGGAGUUGGCUGCGAGAACUUGCUUAAACCUUAUCAUUUAGAGGAAGGUGAAGUCGUAACA